GUCCCCGUAGUUCAACUGGAUAGAACAAGCCCCUCCUAAGGGUUAGAUCCGGGUUCGAGUCCCAGCGGGGGCACCA
rnacentral:tRNA from 1 species